rnacentral:rRNA from 1 species
UACGGAGGAGGCAAGCGUUAUCCGGAAUUAUUGGGCGUAAAGCGUCCGCAGGUGGCACCUCAAGUCUGCUGUCAAAGACCGGGGCUUAACCCCAGAAAGGCAGUGGAAACUGAAGUGCUAGAGUGCAGUAGGGGUAGAGGGAAUUCCCGGUGUAGCGGUGAAAUGCGUAGAGAUCGGGGAGAACAUCGGUGGCGAAAGCGCUCUGCUGGACUGCAACUGACACUCAGGGACGAAAGCUAGGGGAGCGAAUGGG